UGGGGAAUAUUGCACAAUGGGCGAAAGCCUGAUGCAGCGACGCCGCGUGAGGGAUGACGGCCUUCGGGUUGUAAACCUCUUCGCUAGUGAAGCAGGCCAGCCUUUUUGGGUUGGUUGUACGGUAGCUGGAUAAGAAGCGCCGGCUAACUACGUGCCAGCAGCCGCGGUAAUACGUAGGGCGCGAGCGUUGUCCGGAAUUAUUGGGCGUAAAGAGCUCGUAGGCGGCUGGUCGCGUCUGUCGUGAAAUCCUCUGGCUUAACUGGAGGCUUGCGGUGGGUACGGGCCGGCUUGAGUGCGGUAGGGGAGACUGGAAUUCCUGGUGUAGCGGUGGAAUGCGCAGAUAUCAGGAGGAACACCGGUGGCGAAGGCGGGUCUCUGGGCCGUUACUGACGCUGAGGAGCGAAAGCGUGGGGGAGCAAACAGGAUUAGAUACCC
rnacentral:rRNA from 1 species